rnacentral:rRNA from 1 species
GACGAACGCUGGCGGCGUGCUUAACACAUGCAAGUCGAACGGAAAGGCCCUGCUUUUGUGGGGUGCUCGAGUGGCGAACGGGUGAGUAACACGUGAGUAACCUGCCCUUGACUUUGGGAUAACUUCAGGAAACUGGGGCUAAUACCGGAUAGGAGCUCCUGCUGCAUGGUGGGGGUUGGAAAGUUUCGGCGGUUGGGGAUGGACUCGCGGCUUAUCAGCUUGUUGGUGGGGUAGUGGCUUACCAAGGCUUUGACAGGUAGCCGGCCUGGGAGGGUGACCGGCCACAUUGGGACUGAGAUACGGCCCAGACUCCUACGGGAGGCAGCAGUGGGGAAUAUUGCACAAUGGGCGGAAGCCUGAUGCAGCAACGCCGCGUGUGGGAUGACGGCCUUCGGGUUGUAAACCGCUUUCGCCUGUGACGAAGCGUGAGUGACGGUAAUGGGUAAAGAAGCACCGGCUAACUACGUG